GUGCUUUUGAAUGUUCUUGUUGCUGCGGCGUGCAGUAGCCAGCGCCCGUCCAUGGCGCGUGAGGCAGAGAACAGUGCAUGCGACGACUCCGCCCCUCCGCGGAGCAGGUAGAGUUACCGGCGAGUCAUCUGUCACUCACCUGCACCUGCACCGGGUCGCUCUCACUUCACACCUGUUGCGUGCGCGCGCUGAGACCCUACACUGUCCCGUGCAUAUGUCGAGCACCUCAGCGUCCGAAGCCAUCUGCACACAAAAAAAAGCCCCUUUGUCUCGGUAAAGCUACCAGUGUGACUGGCAACGGGACGACGGUGCAUCCACUUUAAGAGCAAAGUUCACUCUUACCUUUGAAAAAACAUACGGCGUGACGUGAUCAAAGAUGACAUUUUGACGCUGGUGACAAUUUUGGUGAAAUUUCGCUGGUGAAAACAACUCAUAACCAAAUUGGCAAGGAUCCGACCGUUAGUGGAGUGGUUAACUUCGUCAUUCCGUCUUGGGGGCCUCGUCAAAAACCUGGUGUACUGAUUAUAACAGCCUUUGUGGUACUGCACCUCCAGAGCCGAGCCACGUUUGUAGGCUUGUCCUGUUGAUGUCGUAAAACAUGAGUAUCAUGGCACCCGGAUUCAGACCAACAGGUGGAGUUGGGCGAUCCGACAGCAAGAUCAGCGCUAAGACCCUAUAUGAGCAGAGGAAGAAAUACUCCAACUCCAACAUCAUCAUGCAGGACACGUCACAGUAUCACGUCGAGGUAAGGAGCUGCCCUAUGCAUGCCUCUUCAAACACACACACACACACACACACACACACUCACACACACCGACACACACACACACACACACACACACACACAAACACAAACACACACACACACACACUCACACACACACACACAAACACACACUCACACACACACACACACACACACACACUCGCACACACACACACACUCACACUCACACACACACACACACACACACACACACACACACACACACACACACUACGCAUGCCUCUUCAUGGACCAGUCUGA
rnacentral:lncRNA from 1 species